GCGGGUGCUGGGAGCCUGGCGGGCCGCGAAUGUAGCCAUCGCGCUGGGGCCGCCGAGAUUGAGUGCCCAGGAUGAACUUCACCUGGAAAAAGGGCUUCUACAAGCAGGACGUCAACAAGACCGCCUGGGAGCUGCCCAAGACCUACGUGUCCCUGACGCACGUAGGCAGCGGGGCCUACGGCGCCGUGUGCUCAGCCAUCGAGAAGCAGUCAGGGGAGAAGGUGGCCAUCAAGAAACUGAGCCGGCCCUUCCAGUCUGAGAUCUUUGCCAAGCGGGCCUAUCGCGAGCUGCUGCUGCUGAAGCACAUGCAGCAUGAGAACGUCAUCGGACUCCUGGAUGUCUUCACCCCAGCCUCUUCCCUGCGCAACUUUCAUGAUUUCUUUACCACCAAAGAGACAUCGUUGCCAGUCCCCACAGGGUUUGCAUCAACCUACCUCACCAUUUCCUGGGGACGCAGCUACCUGGUGAUGCCCUUCAUGCAGAUGGACCUGCAGAAGAUCAUGGGAAUGGAGUUCGGUGAGGACAAGAUCCAGUACCUGGUGUAUCAGAUGCUCAAAGGUCUUAAGUACAUCCACUCAGCUGGGGUCAUCCACAGGGACCUGAAGCCAGGCAACCUUGCUGUCAAUGAGGAUUGUGAGCUGAAGAUUUUGGAUUUUGGGUUGGCACGGCAAGCAGAUGCAGAGAUGACUGGCUAUGUGGUGACCCGCUGGUACCGGGCCCCUGAGGUGAUCCUCAGCUGGAUGCACUACAACCAGACUGUGGACAUCUGGUCUGUGGGCUGUAUCAUGGCGGAGAUGCUGACCGGGAAAACUCUGUUCAAGGGGAAAGACUACCUGGACCAGCUGACGCAGAUCCUGAAAGUGACGGGGGUGCCGGAUGCUGAGUUUGUGCAGAAGUUGAAUGACAAAGCGGCCAAAUCCUACAUCCAGUCCCUGCCACAAACCCCCAAGAAGGAUUUCUCUCAGCUCUUCCAGCAUGCCAGCCCCCAGGCUGCAGACCUGCUGGAGAAGAUGCUGGAGCUGGACAUGGACAAGCGCCUGACCGCCUCUCAGGCCCUCACCCACCCCUUCUUUGAAUCCUGCCGGGACCCUGAGGAGGAAACAGAGGCCCAGCAGCCAUUUGAUGAUUUCUUAGAACAGGAGAAACUCACAGUGGAUGAAUGGAAGCACCACAUUUACAAGGAGAUUGUGAACUUCAGCCCCAUCGCCCGGAAGGACUCUCGGCGCCGGAGUGGCAUGAAGCUGCAGUGACCCGUCUAGCCCGACCCUCGGCUGAGCCCAGGAAUGGCCACAUGAUGGCCAUGAGGGAGGGGCCCCAUCCCAGAGCCCCUUUGUUGUGGAGCCAAACGUGUUUGGCUGCUAAAUUAAGGGAGUUGCAGAGAGAGCUGCAGCUGGUGAGACAUCGCAUGCAGGUUAUUUUGGGAAAAAGAAAAAGCUUGAGGCUCCAGAGAGAUACCCACAGUGAGAAAGUGGUAAAGUCAGGAUUUGAACCACGGCAGCCUCAAACACUGUGCCAAAGGCUGUCAACCCAAGCCUGGAAUCAAGGGUUGCCAGCUUCCCCGCCCUUCUAGCCUGUCUCUGAGCUUCUUCACUGCUGCCUGUGUCCAAGGACCCUGUUUUCUCUCCCAAGGAGUGGCCCUCCUAUCCAGGAGGGAGGAGUGGAUCGAGGGAGGGGCUCUGACCUUGCUGCUGACUGAACUGCCACCGGUCCCCUUAGUCUACAUCCUUCAGUGAAUUGUCUUCUGAGACUCCUCAAUAGCCCCAAGGAAAGUCUAGCCUUCUUGGCCUGGUAUUCAAAGUCCCCUGCAUUCUCUAAACUCAUCUACUCCUACUGCCUCCCGUUUUCCCUAUGCCAGCAUGGCCUGCCAAGGAACACCAGCCCUGGGAUACAACACCAUGAGGCUCAUUAACAGGUUGAAGGUUCUGACAAGUCCUACAGUGAGGAGAACUGUUCAACAUUGUUUAAUCCAGAACUUGCCAAGUGUGCUUAGCCGCAGGACCCCCCUUCUCCUGACGGCCAGCAUGCACAGAAGCCUCUUUGCCUAGUGCAGCCCAGUAUGCAGGUCCCAAUACUGCUUUUCCCCAAGCAGGCCUGGAGCUUGGGCUUCUUUCAAAGCCUCUGUGGAGAAGUCCCUCCCUCCUUCUCCUCCUUAUUCCCUCAAGACUUUGCCUCAGGCCUCCCUCCAGGAAGUCACUCUCCAUCACCCUCCAUCAGAGAAUGGGCAGCUUCCUCCCUCUGCCCCUGGCCCUCUAUGAACAGCAUUUACAGCGUGUACGGUUCUGCUUUCCCUCCCCAUUGCCCACUGUGAGCCCCUGAUUGGAACAAACAUCUAUGAAUGAAUGAUGUUCCAAGGGCCUGUUGGUCGUUUCUCUGCCCAGAUCAGACCAGCAUGGUAUCCAGGGCAGCAGAGAAUCCAGCAGGAAGCAGAAGUGGGUGCCUUGGCCUGUACCUUAAGAGUUUUUCCCCUGAAAAUCUCAGGCUCUCAGACUCCCAGGCCUCUCCCCAUCAUCCCUCGGUGUCCUCCAGUCCAUCCCCCACCCAGAAUUAAACUUGUGUGUGUCACCUCA